rnacentral:lncRNA from 1 species
CUUGGAGGAGUCCAGAGCUGCUGGCUGGCCUAUGGAGCAGAUUCCUCAUCAAACUCCUGUUCUGUAUGAGUUUACAAGGUCAAAAUGGUUCAGCAGAUGUACUUAAACACAAAGGGAGGCUGCCUCAUUUUCAGAAGCAAACUGAUACUGAGCAAGGAAGAAGCAGUUUCUCCAAGGAUUGUGGUGGUGUACAUCUCGGAUCUCCCUGAGGAAUGAAGCCAGUUGAUCUUUCUGCUGAACAAGGUGAUCCACCCAGACCUAGCAGCUGUGACUUGCUGUGAUUCACAC